CGCGGCCUAUCAGCUUGUUGGUGGGGUAACGGCUCACCAAGGCGACGACGGGUAGCGGGUCUGAGAGGAUGAUCCGCCACAUUGGGACUGAGAUACGGCCCAGACUCCUACGGGAGGCAGCAGUGGGGAAUAUUGCACAAUGGGCGCAAGCCUGAUGCAGCGACGCCGCGUGGGGGAUGACGGCCUUCGGGUUGUAAACUCCUUUCGUCAGGGACGAAGCGAAAGUGGCGGUACCUGGAUAAGAAGCACCGGCUAACUACGUGCCAGCAGCCGCGGUAAUACGUAGGGUGCGAGCGUUGUCCGGAAUUAUUGGGCGUAAAGAGCUCGUAGGCGGUUUGUCGCGUCUGCCGUGAAAGUCCGGGGCUCAACUCCGGAUCUGCGGUGGGUACGGGCAGACUAGAGUGAUGUAGGGGAGACUGGAAUUCCUGGUGUAGCGGUGAAAUGCGCAGAUAUCAGGAGGAACACCGAUGGCGAAGGCGGAUCUCUGGGCCGUAACUGACGCUGAGGAGCGAAAGCAUGGGGAGCAAACAGGCUUAGAUACCCUGGUAGUCCAUGCCGUAAACGUUGGGCGCUAGGUGUGGGACCCUAUCCACGGGUUCCGUGCCGCAGCUAACGCAUUAAGCGCCCCGCCUGGGGAGUACGG
rnacentral:rRNA from 1 species